rnacentral:lncRNA from 1 species
ACAAAAACAUUAAUGACCAUACAAAUGUAAAUUUAAGUAUUUUUUUUUUUUUUUUUUUUUCUAGAAGUCCUUUUUUUCAUUUCCACUCUGCCACACAUGUUGCACUUGUUACAAUAUAUUGUAACAAGUGCUAUUAUCCUUAGCUGCUUUUCGCACAGGAACUUGAUUAUGUUUGACGAAAUGAAUAGCCUUGUCAAGGUCGUCUUGUGUCCAAGAGACUGUUUUUCUUCCACUUGUAAAUAGUUGGCAUCUUCAACCACUGCAAAUUGAAAAUGAUAAUUAAAUAAAUUCAUCAAAUACACUUAAUCAUUUUUUAGACUUAAGAUCGCUGUACCCCGCUUCCUCCCCUUUUGAUUCAAUUCAUUAUCAUACCUGCAAUGUAAGCUUAAGUUAAUUAAAAUAUGCUAUUUCAUCCCCUAGUGUGCCAUUUCUCCCAAAACAGGAGGGAAAGAUGGUGCAGUCUACCUGUUGUAGCCUGCUAUGAUUGCCUGCGUGUAACAUGCACGCCAUUUUUCUCCAACAAACCGACAUUCAAAAUAACAUAUUACGUAGAAAUAAACUGCAUUCCCUAUAGCAAGGUUAUGAAGUAUACUCUAAAAAACUUUCAACACUUACCAUAACACAGAUGAGUAUAUAUUAAACAGUACAAAACCGUAUGCUUCAGUUUGGAUACAGCAGCUGCCUUCUACAAACACAACGCUACUAUCAGUGAUUCCUUUUUGUGGUCACUUUCGUUGUUGCUGAAAUAACUGUGGUGCGCAAUCUCUCCCCUCGCGCCAUCUCUCCCAGCUUUAUCUUAUGGAAAUAGACAAACCUCCAGGAAGUUAAUGACAGUCUUUUUUCAAGUUUUAGUUAGGUUAAGGUUAUUAUCAAAUAUUGCUACUAAUUUAUCAUGGAAAUAUAUAUAGAAAUAAUUAGAAAACAACUGAUUGAAAUAAUUCAGCAGCACAAACAUGACAAAGUGCAAUAUUAUUUUUGCCUGUUGCUAUGUAGUACUGCUCUUGAAAGGAAUGUUGUAGAAUUAUCUCAAUAUCUACAGUAAAGUAUUCAGCAGAUAAGAAUUAUAUACGAGAAAAAUGGCACCUAUACCAAGAAAACAAC